UACGUAGGGUGCGAGCGUUGUCCGGAUUUACUGGGCGUAAAGAGCGCGCAGGCGGUCGAUUUAGUCGUGUGUGAAAGCCCCCGGCUCAACUGGGGAGGGUCACGCGAUACUGAUCGACUCGAAGGCAGGAGAGGGUAGUGGAAUUCCCGGUGUAGUGGUGAAAUGCGUAGAUAUCAGGAGGAACACCAAUGGCGAAGGCAGCUCGCUGGGACGUGACUGACGCUGAGACGCGAAAGCGUGGGGAGCAAACAGG
rnacentral:rRNA from 1 species